AGUUCUCUCCCGGGCUUCAAGAUCAAGAAAUUCAUUCAACAUUAUUUAAGGAUUCUCAAGGUCCGGAUCAUUGUAGGGAUUCAAGGCAAAACAUUCAAGAAGCUUGUAAAGAUCCCCAAGUUUGAGAGUCCUCAUGUUCGAGGACGAAACCUAUCAAUCUAGUGCUUGAUAUUUGAUUAGUCUAAAGACAACGCUUUAUUCUUUAUCCUUUUGAUACUGGUUAUGUGUGAGAUAACGUAGACUAUUUUCGAUAUAUGAGAACUACACUUGAACUUCAAAUGUCAAGUUUUUAA